ensembl:lincRNA
UUCAGUACUCAAAUUUUAUGACUUCUACUUUUUUAUUCGUCACAUACUUGUGUGCGGUUUUUUGACACAAUUACCCUGAUACAUCGCUUGGGAGGUUGAGGCAGGCCUGAGAGUCAAAGCCAAGGGUGGGCAAAAGCAGGUGAGUCACCAGAGCCAAAGCCCAAAGUCUGACACCCCCCCCCCGCAAGUGAAUUUGAAAGCAGAAUUUCAAGUCAAAAUGGAACCUUGUGAACACAGGAAAGAGAUUUUUGUUUAAAUUUUGUGACGCUGAGUUGGCUAGGCCAGGCAGCGCACUUCUUUUGCGAGUAUGGGGAGGACUGCGCCGGGCCGGCAGCAGCGAGCUCUUCCCCAUUCAGAGGGCUGUGGCGGACACCUGAGCUCCUGCGAAGGCCCUCCCGGGAGUGGAAGCACGGUCUCCCCAGCAGGCCUGCCAGGGAUCAGCGGGGCUGAGGGGAGGGGGAGAGGGCCCAACCAGACAGCAACACCAGCACUUCUACGUUUACAGUCCUUAAAUGAGCUGCGAGGGAAAUUAUAUGAACAAGCUGAGGUCCAGACAGCUGAGAUCCAGACAAGUGACAUAUCGAGAAGAGUCUCGCUUUUCUGCAUGCCUCAAGCUUCUUUUUUAUACAUUUCUCUAACUCUUGAAAACAAAUGUCAGCUACCGAAGAAGACUUGCCUUUAUUCUUCCCGAAGAAGCUUGGAGGUCAGCAUGACCAAAUACCACUGGACAAGUAUCACACAGUGA